rnacentral:rRNA from 1 species
AAAGAGACUUCGGUCAAUGGAAGCUUUGACUUAGUGGCGGACGGGUGAGUAACGCGUGGGUAACCUGCCUCAUACAGGGGGAGUAACAGUUAGAAAUGACUGCUAAUACCGCAUAAGCGCACAGGAUCGCAUGAUCCGGUGUGAAAAACUCCGGUGGUAUGAGAUGGACCCGCGUCUGAUUAGCUAGUUGGUGGGGGAACGGCCUACCAAGGCGACGAUCAGUAGCCGGCCUGAGAGGGUGAACGGCCACAUUGGGACUGAGACACGGCCCAAACUCC